rnacentral:SRP_RNA from 1 species
UGUAGGUUUCCUUUGUACACCCCUACAUUCUGGGCUUUGGGUAGCUAAUGUCUGGCCUGCCCUAUCUAAGCAUGGAGGUGAGUCACAUGGCCUAAACUUAAAGUAUGGGCUCCUAGAGUGGGGUGGACUGCGUGAGGAUGGUUUCACAAAGCAACAAACAGCUCCCGCUUUAUGCAGCGGAAGGAUAACGGGCUGGUGCUCUCUAAGUCCAAUAAAAACCUGAUGGGCUUUCUAAUUAAACCACCA